rnacentral:rRNA from 1 species
GACGAACGCUGGCGGCGUGCUUAACACAUGCAAGUCGAACGGAAAGGCCCUGCUUUUGUGGGGUGCUCGAGUGGCGAACGGGUGAGUAACACGUGAGUAACCUGCCCUUUACUUUGGGAUAACUUCAGGAAACUGGGGCUAAUACCGGAUAGGAGCUCCUGCUGCAUGGUGGGGGUUGGAAAGUUUCGGCGGUUGGGGAUGGACUCGCGGCUUAUCAGCUUGUUGGUGGGGUAGUGGCUUACCAAGGCUUUGACGGGUAGCCGGCCUGAGAGGGUGACCGGCCACAUUGGGACUGAGAUACGGCCCAGACUCCUACGGGAGGCAGCAGUGGGGAAUACUGCACAAUGGGCGGAAGCCUGAUGCAGCAACGCCGCGUGCGGGAUGACGGCCUUCGGGUUGUAAACCGCUUUCGCCUGUGACGAAGCGUGAGUGACGGUAAUGGGUAAAGAAGCACCGGCUAACUACGUG